rnacentral:misc_RNA from 1 species
GCUCCGUUGGUGAACCAGCGGAGGGAUCAUUACCAGAGUUUUACAACUCCCAACCAUUCUGUGCACACACCUAUCGUUGCUUCGGCGGGCUCGCCCCAGCCUCCGGGCGGCCCCGCCCCGGCCCGCCACCCGGACCCAGGCGCCCGCCCUUGACCACACAAUCCCGUACUCAUCAGUCUUCCUUAAUCAGCCGCAAGGCACAACAAACGAACCAAAACUUUCAACAAUGGAUCACUUCGUACUAGCACCGAAGAAGAACGCACCGGACCCGAAUCACCC